UAUNGCACAAUGGGGGAAACCCUGAUGCAGCNACGCCGCGUGAGUGAAGAAGUAUUUCGGUAUGUAAAGCUCUAUCAGCAGGGAAGAAAAUGACGGUACCUGAGUACGCAGCCCCGGCUAACUACGUGCCCGCAGCCGCGGUAAUACGUAGUGGGCAAGCGUUAUCCGGAUUUACUGGGUGUAAAGGGAGCGUAGACGGCGAUGCAAGUCUGAAGUGAAAGCCCGGGGCUCAACCCCGGGACUGCUUUGGAAACUGUAUGGCUGGAGUGCUGGAGAGGCAAGCGGAAUUCCUAGUGUAGCGGUGAAAUGCGUAGAUAUUAGGAAGAACACCAGUGGCGAAGGCGGCUUGCUGGACAGUAACUGACGUUGAGGCUCGAAAGCGUGGGGAGCAAACAGG
rnacentral:rRNA from 1 species